GGACGUCUCGACCGGGAUCCGGGCGGCGUGGACUCCACGAGUGGGAGGAGUGCCUCCUGAAGUUAAGUAACCAUGGCGAUCUCCCCCUCACUGGCAACACGUCAGCUGGACGGACCGGCAUUACGUCACUUCCGGAAGUGAGGGACGUCUCGACCGGGAUCCGGGCGGCGUGGACUCCACGAGUGGGAGGAGUGCCUCCUGAAGUUAAGAAAGUGGUGGAAUGAAAUGGACAAACUCCAGGAGGUUCAAGAAAAGUCCCCUGUUAAAUGGGUUGUAAAACUUUCCCCUCUCAUCCAUAAGAAUGCCGGUGAAGGCGCCACACCAUCGCGCACAGCAUUCUGAGAGUGGACGCAGAAGACCGAGGAGCAGGGAAGAUCAAGGAGCAGCAGCAGCCCUAUCGGCGGCGUGUGGUGACCGAGGAGCGGAGAAGAUCGAGGAACAGCAGCAGCCCCAGCAAUGGCGCCCACCCGCCCACAAGCACUGCCAGGUGUUCAGCCUGAGCCCCUGGUACUGAGGAGCAGUCCUACCGGCCUCCACCAAUGCAGUGCGGGAUCCUGGACCCAGCAACAGCACAGCUCAGAGCCAGCUUCAGCACUGCAGGGAGAGUGUGCCCCCCCACCCCCUCCCCGG